rnacentral:rRNA from 1 species
AUGGCUCCGGUGGUGGCGAGGGAGGCAGUGGUGGCGAGGGAGGCAGGGGCGUCUCCAGUGACGGCGAGGGAGGCCGUUGUGGCGAGGGAGGAUCUGGUGGCGUCGACGGCGGCUCCGGUGGUGUAUGAGGCCGCGCGGCUCCGUGGUGUUGGGGCCGGCUCCGGUGGCGUCGAUGGCGCGCGGCUCUGGUGGCUCCGGGAGCGUCGACGUCGACAGGAGACGGCGGUGAAGUGGGCGAUGGCGAAUCGGGGAGACGGCGCCGGGAUGGGUCGAGGGAUUUGGGGGAGAAGUGGUGGCCGGGCAAUUAGGUGGCUUUGGAAGACUUGCUGCCUGAACCGCGGGUUGCUGCGGAACAUUUGUACGAUAAGAAUAAUCCAAAGUAAUAGAGAAAAUCACUAUGACAAUAGGAAGGAUGAGUGGCAUAGGCUAGAGGACACUGAGACGAUGGGGAGCGGCGUCCGUGCCACAAGAGCAUACCACACGCGGAGAUCGCCUCCUAGCCGCCACACCCUACUUAGCCUAGUUAUGACGGCCCAAAGGAUGCAUGUCUCACGGCUGCAUGUAGACCCAUUGCUUGGUGGAGAAUUGAUGAUGUGGCUAGAUGAUGAUGUGGACACCUUGCAUGAAUGCAUGCAGGGCCAACUUCAAGCAGGAGAUGUCUCUUUAUCGAGGGAUCAAAUAAGCAAGUUCAAGUGUUCAAUACAGCACCAAGCCACAAACACACAGCAAGCAGCAGCAAGCAAGCGAGCCAAGCAAAAUGUCUUAGCCGAUCUUGGCCCAUACAUGCUAAAUGCCAACUCUGAUGCAACCAUUGAUACGGGGCUGUUCUAUGUUGGAAACCCCGAGAAAAACUAUGUUUCUUCCUUGUACACUGGUAUCCCCAACAAAACUAUGCCACUUUCGGUCCUUGAAGGUCUGAACUCUGAAAUCUCAAGUCAAGAGGAGUACAAGUGGAGCGCCAACAACCGCUUCCAGCUGAUCCAAGGGUCGCCAGCAGGCAGAUAUAUACUCCAAACACGCCUACCAUUGUACUGGAAGCAUAUAUCAUCUAGUUUGGCUGAACAGGACAACCAACCAAAGCAUUUGUUCUAUCCAGGAUCCCCCCAAAGGAAGCUGAGCUCACAACCUAACUCAUUUCGACUCCUGUUCUGCGACUGGUACGGGGUCACCUACAGCGCGACGUCCCCCCGGCGUGUCAUCGCGCUGAACCUUGAAUCCCAAGGCAUCUCUGGCACCAUAGCACCUUGCAUUGCCAAGCUCACUUGGCUGACAAGGCUCCAGCUGUCGAACAACAACUUCCAUGGUGGUGUGUCGUCCGAGCUUGGCCUCCUGAGUCGACUCGCCAGCCUCAACCUCAGCAUGAACACUUUGGAAGGUAACAUCCCACCUGAACUCUCUGCAUGUUCCCAGCUCCAAAUUCUGGGCUUGUGGAACAAUUCCCUCCGUGGAGAGAUCCCACAUAGCCUUAGCCAACACAAGCGCCUUCAAGAGAUUAACCUUGGCAACAACAAGCUCCAGGGGAGCAUCCCUCUUGCUUUCGGAGACCUUCCUGCACUGCGCAUACUAGUUCUCGCCAAAAAUAUGCUUACCGGCACCAUACCGCCGUCUUUGGGCAGCAGUCGCCAUCUCACAUAUGUCGAUCUUGGGACGAAUGCCCUCGGAGGGGUCAUCCCACAGUCCUUGGCAAAUAGUUCAUCUCUUCAAGUACUUCGGCUCAUGAGCAAUGGUCUUACUAGGGAACUCCCAAAGGCUCUGCUCAACACUUUGUCACUUGGUGCCAUUUGCCUUGAAAAGAACAAUUUUGUUGGUUCGAUACCUUCUGUUACUGUCGCAUCGUCCCCUAUUAAGCAACUCUCUUUAAGGUUUAACAAUCUUUCAGGAGGAAUACCUUCCUCACUAGGGAACCUUUCUUCCCAAGUUCAUCUUUAUCUUACAAACAAUCAUUUAGUUGGGAGCAUCCCAGAGAGCUUAGGUUAUAUUCCAACCCUAGAGAUAUUGACCUUGACUAUGAACAACUUAUUUGGGCCGGUUCCACCAUCUAUCUUCAAUAUGUCAUCCCUGAAAAGUCUCACCAUAGCAAAAAACUCACUUGUCGGCAGAUUACCUUUUGACAUUGGCUACACCCUCCCCAAUGUCCAGGACCUGAUAUUCUCAUAUAACAGUUUUGAUGGACCAAUCCCAGCCUCUCUUCUCAAAGCAUACCACCUACAAAGGCUUGACCUGAACACUAAUAGAUUUACUGGAUUCAUACCAUUCUUCGGCUCAUUGCCAAAUUUAGUGCUACUCGAUUUGGCAAUCAACAAACUAGAAGCAGAUGAUUGGGGCUUUGUCUCUUCACUAUCUAACUGCUCCAGAUUGAACAUGCUGGCCCUGGAUGGGAACAAUCUCAAUGGGAAAUUGCCAAGUUCUAUUGGAAAUCUUUCAAAUAGUCUUGACUACUUGUGGCUAAGUAGCAACAAAAUUUCUGGACCUAUACCACCGGAGAUUGGCAACCUUAAGAGUCUCAGUGGCUUGUAUAUGGGUCACAAUCUUCUCACUGGUAAUACACCAUCAACAAUUGGGAAAUUGUACAAAUUGGUCGAUCUAUCCUUUGCGCAAAACAGGCUUUCGGGUCAGAUUCCAGAUAUCGUUGGCAAUCUUGUCCAGCUGAGCAUACUGGAAUUGGAUCAUAACAGCUUCAGUGGAAGAAUACCUGCAAGUAUAGCACGAUGCACUCAACUCACCAUACUCAACCUUGCUCACAACUCACUAGAUGGUCAUAUACCAAGUAAAAUCUUGACAAUCCCUACGUUUUCUAAAGUGCUGGACUUGUCAAACAACUACUUGUCUGGAGGAAUGCCAGAUGAAGUUGGAAGUCUCCUUCAUCUGAAGAAAAUCAACAUGUCAAAUAACAGGUUGACUGGCAACAUCCCAUCAACUCUCGGCCAGUGUGUUGACCUGGAGUAUCUUGAGAUGCAGAACAACUUAUUUGCAGGAAGGAUUCCAAAAACAUUUGCCAACUUAGUCAGCAUAAAACACAUGGAUAUUUCUGGGAACAACUUGUCUGGAAAAGUACCAGAGUUCCUCAAAUCCUUGAAAUCACUGCACGGCCUGAAUUUAUCAUUCAACCAUUUUGAUGGAGCAGUUCCGACAGGCGGUGUUUUUGACAUCGCUGGUGCAGUCUCAAUCGAAGGAAAUGAUCAUCUGUGUACAAUAAUCCCAAAGACAGAUUUCAAGGCUCUAGUGUUCCCAUAUAUGCCAAAUGGGAAUCUAGAAAUGUGGUUACAUCUAAAAGAUCCUGAAGAUGGUGAAAAAAAUAAUCUGAGUUUAAGCCAAAGGAUUAACAUAGCCUUGGAUGUGGCCGUUGCUUUGGAUUAUCUUCACAAUCAGUGUGCACCUCCAGUCAUACAUUGUGACUUGAAGCCAAGCAAUAUUCUUUUGGGUCUUGACAUGGAUGCGCACGUCAUCGACUUUGGCCUAGAAAGAUUCUUGUUCAGCACAGGAAAUGGACAUCAAGAUAGUUCAGCAAGUUUGAGCCGCUUAAAAGGAUCCAUAGGAUACAUCCCACCAGAGUAUGGAAUGAGCGGAGAGAUAUCAACCAAGGGUGAUGUCUAUAGCUUCGGAGUGCUUCUGUUACAACUGAUAACAGGGUGUAGUCCAACUGAUGAAAAAUUUAACGAUGGUAUAAGCCUUCAUGAAUUUGUUGAUAGAGCAUUUACGAAGAAUAUUCAUGAGGUUGUUGACCCUACAAUGCUACAAGAUAACAACAAUGCAACUGACAUGAUGGAGAAUUGCGUUGUUCCACUUCUAAGAAUAGGCCUCUCUUGCUCCAUGGCAUCACCCAAAGAGCGGCCUGAUAUGGGACAAGUUUCUACUGAGAUCCUUAGAAUAAAGCAUGUGGCCUCAGACACAUGCAUGUCUGAUGAAGCAAAGAAUUGGCAGGAUAGUAGCAAGCAACAGAAGAUCAUGUAA